GGUCUAGGAAAUACGCGCGCUACAAUGAAAGUAUCAAAGUGUAUUUCCUAGACCGAGAGGUCCGGGUAAACCGCUGAACCACUUUCAUGCUUGGGAUUGUGAA